ensembl:miRNA
CGGGCUCGGGCUGUACUACAGGACUCAGCUGAUCCUGGGUAUAACCCGAGCCCGACUGU